rnacentral:rRNA from 1 species
AUGAAUGAAGCCUUACUUGCACCUUACACUGAAGAAGUUAAAAGAGCGUUAUUCAGUAUAGGUGACCUGAAGACCCCCGGCCCGGAUGGGCUGCACGCAAUUUUCUACAAGAAAUUUUGGAACUUGGUAGGCCCGGAUCUGGUGAAAGAGGUACUCGAAGCCGUGAACAGUAAGGUUAUUCCUGAGGGAUGGAAUACGACCACCAUAGUGCUUAUCCCGAAAGUGGACACGCCGGAGAAGGUGUCCCAAUUCCGCCCUAUAAGCCUCUGUAACGUGGUUUACAAAGUCAUUUCAAAGAUGUUGGCGGCUCGACUGAAGGUAUUCCUCCCAGAGAUUAUCAGUGAGACGCAAAGUGCAUUUGUUCCUGGCCGUAUUAUUACGGAUAAUGUCAUAGUUGCAUAUGAAUAUCUCCACACGAUGAAAAAGAAGAAGAAAGGCAAGGUGGGAUCUUGUGCCGUGAAAUUAGACAUGCACAAAGCAUAUGACCGUGUAGAGUGGGUCUUUUUGGAGGCUAUUCUUGGUAAACUAGGAUUUGGUAGUAGGUGGAUUGAGCUCAUAAUGGCCUGUGUAACAUCAGUGGAGUAUAAAGUGAGAUUCAACUCCAAUGAGACAGCACCUUUUACUCCUACAAGGGGCUUACGACAGGGAGAUCCCCUAUCUCCCUACCUCUUUCUUUUAUGUGCAGAAGGCCUCUCUGCCCUGAUUGCCAGUGAAGAGGAACAAGGAAAUUUGAAGGGGGUGCAAGUAUGCCGUGACUCACCCUUCAUAUCUCACCUUUUGUUUGCUGAUGAUUCAUUAAUUCUCAUGAGGGCAGACAGUACUAAUGCUGGCUCGCUGAAGAGGAUCCUAGACAACUACUGUGCAGCCUCGGGACAAAUGGUGAGUAAAGCAAAGUCCUCAAUUUUUUUCAGCCCGAAUACAGAUGUGGAAUCCAAAGUGGAGAUAUGCCAAAUACUUGAUAUUAUGACAGAAUCCCUUUUCGAUAAAUAUCUGGGUCUGCCUUCCAUGAUUGGUGUUGAUCGAGUUGACUGUUUUAAACACUUGAUUGAGAGAAUACAGAAGCUAGUUAAUGGAUGGAAAAAGAGAACACUUUCAUAUGGUGGAAAAGAGGCAUUGAUAAAAGCGGUGGCCCAAGCCAUACUGACUUAUGCGAUGAGUGUAUUCAAAUUUCCGGAAAAAGAUUGUAAGGGAAUCACUGAUGCCAUAUCGCAUUAUUGGUGGGGUGAUGGAGAAAACCAGCGCAAAAUGCAU